CGCCGUACGCGCGUGGCGGCUGGGAGGCGACGCCGUACGUGCUCGCUACAGCACAGUGUCGGCGAGGCCCCUUGGCCGCCUGCUCCUGCCCUUGUACAUGGGGAUUGGGGAGAGAGAACGAGAGCUCACACCCGAAACCCUAUCUUCUCUUUUCCCCCCUUCUUCUUCCCUCGUCUGUCCUGUGGUAUGGCGGCGCACAGAGGAAAGGAGCAAGAAGCAGGAGGAAGGAGAGGAGCAAGCGGUGGUGGCGCGAAUGGAUCUGGCGGAACGCGGCGGGGGGUGACCAGGCGCGACGAAGGCGGAGGCCUCCCUGUCCACCCCAUGCCCGACCUAGAGUACGGUGGCGGCGACAAGAUCCCGAGCGCGGUGGCGGCGUUGAUCCCGCCGCCUCGUGCCUCGCAUAAGGAGGCAGCGCGCACGCGGGCGCCGCCGCUGUUAGAGCGCCACGGUCGCCGCCGGUCGCGGGCGUCGUCAUGCCAAGAGCAGGAGAGCACACGUCGUCGAGCGGCGGCGUAGAGAGUGGUGGCCGCGCGCCGCCUUGAGAAGUUCGUCCACAGAUGGCGGGGCUCGAGAUCUUCGUCGAGGGCGCUUCCCCCGCCUUGUCUUGCGCCGCCUCCCCUCCUCUCCCUGUGCUCCCCUCUUCCAUUUUCGUCGCCUUCGCGGGGGAACUGUGCGAGCGCCGGCUGCCAGCCCCGCUCCCUCGCUCCCCAGGUGAGCUUUUUGCCGAUGCGGGGAACCGCACGAGCCGCCGCCUCGAGCUGAUUGGCGGUUACCAGCGCCCUCCUCAUCAUCCCUUGAGCCUAGGACCAGGGCCCCGGGGCUGCAGCGGCGCUCCGCCUCUCCAUCCCCUGACGGAUGCGCGAGUGAAUCCUGCGGAGAUGGGGCACGCAAAGCCGGCCAGGUCCAGGCUGCGCGUGGAGUUCUUAGACGACAAGAGUUCAUCGCUUACUGGAUGCUAAAAGAUUGUUUGUUGCGUCCUGGUGUCUUCGUGGGAGUAACAUGGGCCACGGCAGCGGUUGAGUUCAAAUGGAAACUCAGGAGGACCUAGACGGCUGCCGUCCUAGAGAAAGAUGAGGACGUCCGCCCGCCACCAUGGAUUUCGCCGGCUCGACCAUAGAUUUUUUGUCUCUGUCCCAUCAUCUUCACCUCUGGCCGCAUUGGUUCUGACCUGAUCUUCCGCAUCACAGCCUGGAUGUCGCCAGCGUCAUGAGAUCAGGUGUUCGGGGCUGAACAUCGAUGGCGUUGUUGAUCUCCAGGUUUGCCUCCCUCUCUGUGUUUUCAUGUGCGUGCGUGUGUGAUGGCUAACAAUUCACCUUCUUCCUCCAACAUCUCAGAAUGUAGUUUGACUAUGUUAGUCAGGCUCCAUAGUUCGAUGCAUCUACAAAAGAUAUGAAUAUUGGAUUUGGUCCAUUAAGUUUUUGUUCACGAACGACAAUUUCAUUUUUGCCAAAAACACCCUGCGAUGGUCGUGAUCUCUGCUUCCUAACCUUCCUGAAGUGGUAUCUCUCCAGGUCAUAAUGAUGAUAUUACUCAAUACAUGUCGAGUUAAAACUGCUUUUUUCUAUACCACAUCAAGAGUAUAUUCAUGAGUUUUUGUAGCUAUAUGUCCAUUAGUUUUGUUCUCAUAUUAGUUUACAGUAUUUUUGGUUGUCAGAAAUAACAAUGUAAUCUCAAUUUGAGGCACUUGGCAUAUCAGAAGAUGAUGAUCUGGAAGGAGAUGAUGAUUUGGAAGGGAACAUACAAUUAGAUAUAUCAUAUUUAUUCUUGCAUAUUAUAUUAUGAUGAAUUGCAUUAAUCAGAUCCGAUCACCUAAAGUUUUUCUUGCAAAGUUGUAGACGGAAAAUAUGUCAGCAAUGAUCAAGACAUGGAUAAGAUGUAAGAGCGAGUGCAGAAAUAUAUAAGCCCUACCCGUUCUGAACUAAACUUGGCAGAAGAAAAUUUCUUUUAUUAAAGAAAAAAAUUCUCCUUUAUCAAAUGUCUGUUAGUAUUUUAAAUAUAACCAUCUUACUGCUGGGUUCGUAAUAUUUGGAAAACUGCUGAAUGCUUAUUUGAUUAACUAAAUAGAAAGUUGCAAAGACGAUGUUUAGAACAUAAUAGACCAUCAUUACUGCUAAUAAUGUGACAUGCUUCUUA